rnacentral:ncRNA from 2 species
CAGCUGGUAGAGCAGAGGACU